GUGAGGAAUAUUGCGCAAUGGAGGCAACUCUGACGCAGCCAUGCCGCGUGCAGGAAGAAGGCGCUACGCGUUGUAAACUGCUUUUAACCGGGUAGAAACCCCAGGACGUGUCCUGGGUUGACGGUACCGGAGGAAUAAGCACCGGCUAACUUCGUGCCAGCAGCCGCGGUAAUACGAAGGGUGCAAGCGUUAUCCGGAUUCAUUGGGUUUAAAGGGUGCGUAGGCGGAGCGUUAAGUCAGUGGUGAAAUCCUGCAGCUUAACUGUAGACUUGCCAUUGAUACUGGCGCUCUUGAGUGCGCUUGAAGUGGGCGGAAUGUGCCGUGUAGCGGUGAAAUGCUUAGAUAUGGCACAGAACACCAAUUGCGAAGGCAGCUCACUAAGGCGAUACUGACGCUGAGGCACGAAAGCGUGGGGAUCGAACAGGAUUAGAAACCCUUGUAGUCC
rnacentral:rRNA from 1 species